AUACUUACCUGGUAGGGGAGAUACCAUGAUCAAUAAGGUGGUUCUCCCAGGACCAGCCUAUCCCAUUGCACUUCGGGUGUGUUGAUGCCUGCGAUGUUCCCAAAUGCGGGAUACCCGACUGCAACAUUUGUGGUAGUAGGGGACUGCAUUUGCGCUCUUAAA